rnacentral:rRNA from 1 species
AGCAGCCGCGGUAAUUCCAGCUCCAAUAGCGUAUAUUAAAGUUGUUGCAGUUAAAAAGCUCGUAGUUGAAUUUCGGGAUCAGUUGAUCGGUCGUGCCUCGGUACGUACUGGUCAAAUUGAUUCCUACCUUCUGACGAACCACGAUGUCAUUAAUUUGAUGUCGCGGGAAAUCAGGACUGUUACUUUGAAAAAUUAGAGUGUUUAAAGCAGGCUCGCGCUUGAAUACAUUAGCAUGGAAUAAUGAAAUAGGACGUUUGAUUCUAUUUUGUUGGUUUCUAGGAUCGACGUAAUGAUUAAUAGGGAUAGUUGGGGGCAUUAGUAUUCAAUUGUCAGAGGUGAAAUUCUUGGAUUUAUUGAAGACUAACUACUGCGAAAGCAUUUGCCAAGGAUGUUUUCAUUAAUCAAGAACGAAAGUUAGGGGAUCGAAGACGAUCAGGUACCGUCGUAGUCUUAACCAUAAACUAUGCCGACUAGGGAUCGGAUGAUGUUAAUUUUUAAUGACUCAUUCGGCGCCUUACGG